rnacentral:lncRNA from 1 species
GCGGGAGCUCCCUGCUGGCCGCCCACAGGGAGAGGGAGCGAGGCGCGGAGCUGUCCCCGGGCCGCGGCCGUGGCAGAAGCUCCCCCAGAUAUGGAUAACAGACGUGAUGAGAAAUGUGGAACGCCAUGCGCUACAUCACAAGAAGAGAUGAAAGUCAGAGGGAAAGACAAGAGAAAGCGAAAACGCAGCAGAAGCAGAUCAUCAUCCAUUUCAUCAGCAUCAUCUGCUAGUACUACUACUGCAUCCUCCUCGUCCUCUUCAUCAAGAUCUUCCUCUUCUUCAAGCAGCAGAAGCAGUUCAAGUGGCAGAGAUUCUCCCAAGUCUAAAUCAAAGAAAAGGAAAAAAGAAAAACGCAACAAAAAGGUAAAUAUUUGCUGACAGAAAUAAAUAGCAAUCCAGGCAAAAAAAUUUAAAUGUU